rnacentral:rRNA from 1 species
GACGAACGCUGGCGGCGUGCCUAAUACAUGCAAGUAGGACGCAGUUGCGAACGGGUGAGUAACGCGUAGGUAACUACCUAUUAGAGGGGGAUCACUAUUGGAAACGAUAGCUAAUACCGCAUCCUAGUCGAUGGAUCUGCGUUGUAUUAGCUAGUAGGGAGGGUAAUGGCCUACCUAGGCAACGAUACAUAGCCGACCUAAGAGGGUGAUCGGCAAAACUGGGACGGAGACACGGCCCAGACUCCUACGGGAGGCAGCAGUAGGGCAUCUUCGGCAAUGGGGGGAACCCUGACCGAGCAACGCCGCGUGAGUGAAGAAGGUUUGCGGAUCGUAAAGCUCGGUGGUUAAGGAAGCGGUACUUAACCAGAAAGGGACGGAUAACUACGUGCCAGCAGCCGCGGUAAUUC